UACGAAGGUGGCAAGCGUUGUUCGGAUUUACUGGGCGUAAAGGGAGCGUAGGUGGUUAGGUAAGCCCUCCGGGAAAUCUUCAGGCUUAACCUGAAAAGGUCGGGGGGGACUGCCUGGCUAGAGGACGGGAGAGGAGCGCGGAAUUCCCGGUGUAGCGGUGAAAUGCGUAGAGAUCGGGAGGAAGGCCGGUGGCGAAGGCGGCGCUCUGGAACGUUUCUGACACUGAGGCUCGAAAGCCAGGGGAGCGAACGGG
rnacentral:rRNA from 1 species